rnacentral:rRNA from 1 species
AACGGCAGCGGGGAAGUGCUUGCACUUCUGCCGGCGUGUGGCGAACGGGUGAGUAAUAUAUCGGAACGUACCGAAUAGUGGGGGAUAACUGUCCGAAAGGAUGGCUAAUACCGCAUACGUCUUGAGAGAGAAAGUGGGGGCUUCGCAAGGACCUCACGCUAUUUGAGCGGCCGAUAACUGAUUAGCUGGUUGGUGGGGUAAGAGCCCACCAAGGCGACGAUCAGUAGCGGGUCUGAGAGGAUGAUCCGCCACAUUGGGACUGAGACACGGCCCAAACUCCUACGGGAGGCAGCAGUGGGGAAUUUUGGACAAUGGGGGCAACCCUGAUCCAGCCAUGCCGCGUGUAUGAAGAAGGCCUUCGGGUUGUAAAGUACUUUUGUCGGGGAAGAAAAGGUUAGUGUUAAUACCACUGACUGAUGACGGUACCCGAAGAAUAAGCACCGGCUAACUACGUGCCAGCAGCCGCGGUAAUACGUAGGGUGCAAGCGUUAAUCGGAAUUACUGGGCGUAAAGCGGGCGCAGACGGUUACAUAAGUCAGGUGUGAAAUCCCCGAGCUCAACUUGGGAAUGGCGCUUGAAACUGUGUAGCUAGAGUGUGUCAGAGGGAGGUAGAAUUCCGCGUGUAGCAGUGAAAUGCGUAGAGAUGCGGAGGAAUACCGAUGGCGA